rnacentral:misc_RNA from 1 species
AAGUCGUAACAAGGUUUCCGUAGGUGAACCUGCGGAAGGAUCAUUAAAGAAUCGCCCCGUUUUUUGAAAUGGGUUCUAUUCCCAAACCGUGUUCACAUACCUUUGUUGCUUUGGCAGGUCGCCGCUUAGGCGUUAGCUCCGGCUGACUGCGCCUGCCAGAGGACCCAACUCUCUUGCAUUUAGUGACGUCUGAGUUCUAUAUAAUAUUUAAAA